UUCUCGUACGAUCACCGAAGUUAAGCAGCGUAGAGCCAGGUCAGUACUUAGAUGGGGGACCGCUUGGGAACACCUGGUACUGUAAGC